AAGCCCAGCACCGAAGCCUGUGGCCAAUUGGUCACUAGGCAAUGUGGUGUUUAGGUCGUUCCGCAGAGGUACUGCUCCACCCUAAGUCCAGCAAUGAGUACGGUAGUACGGACAUGGCCCAUGGAGGGUGAAAGGCCCGUGGGGGUGGAGAUCAGGUAGGCCAGUGCCUCUCUGGGUAGACCUUGGAGUCGGGUUGUUUGUGAAUGCAGCCCAAAGUGGGUGGUAAACUCCAUCCAAGGCUAAAUACAAGCACGAGUCCGAUAGCGAACAAGUACCGUGAGGGAAAGUUGAAAAGUACUUUGAAGAGAGAGUAAACAGUGCGUGAAACCGCUCAGAGGUAAACGGGUGGAGUUGAACUGCAAGCUUCGAGAAUUCAGCUGGUGAGUUUGGUUUGAGCUUGGUCAAAUCGGUUGGGCCCUGAGGUCUGUGUAGCAGCAGGUCUUUGCCUUCGGGUGAAGAUGCGCGAUGCACUUAUCAAGUGUUGUGCGCCUUGGGUGUUCAUCAGGCCGGCUCGCCAGUGCAUUUUCUCGGAGUGUUCACCACGACCGGCAUCGCUGUCUGACUGUUGUGGUUAAACCGGUCUUGCAUGGUCCUUGUGGCUUUGCUUGGUCGGGACGGCAGGUAGCUCGUUGAUCUGCUUGUAGCUUGCUACAGGCCUGGUCUUCGAGUGUAAUCAGCUGACCGCAUCAGUUCUGUGCAGUAUGUCGGAGACGGCGGCUCGUGGUGUGUACGCGCGUGCCUGUUCAGUUGACGUACUUGGGUUUGGUUAUUAUGUUGCCUGUACUUGCAGGCCUGAUGAUAGCCCGAGUUCGUUUGGCUGGCGGUUGCGUGUGUUACACUUUUCAAGGGCCAAUAGUCUGUGGUGUAGUGGUAGACUAUCCACCUGACCCGUCUUGAAACACGGACCAAGGAGAGUAACAUGUACGCGAGUCAUUGGGCACUACGAAACCCAAAGGCGCAGUGAAAGUAAAGGUCUGGCUUGUCCAGACUGAGGUGAGAUCCUGUCGUUUCUCAUGCGCGGUACUACCAAGCUUCGAGCGGCAGGCGCAUCACCGGCCCGUCCCAUGACAAUUGUUUUCGGGCAUUACUCAGUCGGGGCGGAGCAUGAGCGUACAUGUUGAGACCCGAAAGAUGGUGAACUAUGCUUGCGCAGGUUGAAGCCAGAGGAAACUCUGGUGGAGGACCGCAGCGGUUCUGACGUGCA
rnacentral:rRNA from 1 species